AGCGGAGGAAAGGAAACUAACAAGGAUUCCCCUAGUAGCGGCGAGCGAAGCGGGAAGAGCUCAAAUUUAUAAUCUGGCACCUUCGGUGUCCGAGUUGUAAUCUCUAGAAAUGUUUUCCGCGUUGGACCGCACACAAGUCUGUUGGAAUACAGCGGCAUAGUGGUGAGACCCCCGUAUAUGGUGCGGACGCCCAGCGCUUUGUGAUACAUUUUCGAAGAGUCGAGUUGUUUGGGAAUGCAGCUCAAAUUGGGUGGUAAAUUCCAUCUAAAGCUAAAUAUUGGCGAGAGACCGAUAGCGAACAAGUACCGUGAGGGAAAGAUGAAAAGCACUUUGGAAAGAGAGUUAACAGUACGUGAAAUUGUUGGAAGGGAAACGCUUGAAGUCAGACUUGCUUGCCGAGCAAUCGGUUUGCAGGCCAGCAUCAGUUUUCCGGGAUGGAUAAUGGUAGAGAGAAGGUAGCAG
rnacentral:rRNA from 1 species